AAAAUUUGAAACAUGUUAAUACGAUGAUUUCUUGAGGUGGUAUUGGCUGAGAAAAAAUCGCGCGAAAAUCCAAUCCGGCUCAGCCAUGUUAAAAGGAUCGAUAUUGAACAACUGCUGGCUCCAUGCAAUAAUUACGAUUUAAUGGAAGUAGUGUAGGCUCAACAUGGACCUUCUGAAUAGUAGCAAAAACAAAUGUACCGAUAGCACCCACGUGUGGAUUCAUGAUUCAAAGACCAUAAACCUCCAAUUUAUAUUCAUAGUGCUUUUUGUUUUAGGUGUAUAUUUUGAUAUUUAGAAGAACCUCAUAAGAGCGGUUGUGCUUCAGUUAUCGGCUGUUCUUUUAAUCUUCAUUAGCUGACCCUUCUGUGACCAUACAAGUCACCCAUAUGACAGUGUUGGGCGUACAAUCCUAUAAUAAAUUCAAUAAAUGAAUUUGGUUUUAAGGCCUCAAGUUUUCCAAAAGUUCAUCUGCAUUGCUCGAAGGUUAAAGAUGUUUUAUCGACUUUGUAGUAAAUGCGAGGAGACCCAUUUAGUUUGAUAUCCAAUACAACUUAAAUUUAUUUGAUCUGAUCCGCUCACAGUAACUAAGAGUCAAAGAAUUUGCCAUUAAAGUUUUGUAUGGAUAAAUCGAUAAUUUAAUUUGUCGACAUCAUUGUUCGAUAGCUGUUAAUGUAGAUGGGUUAAGGUUCAAGAGAAUUUGGCCCGGCCUGCAUGGGAAUAUAGUCCUUAAAGAUGUGUGUGUGUGUGUGAAAGGGUGGGGGUGCAUGUGCUGAGCUUUGCGCCCUCUAGUUAGUGAGACCUUUCUUGGGUUGUUUGUUGUGUUGUCUAUUGGACGGCUAAGACCGAUCACGGUCCUUCUCACUUCUUGAGUUGUUGAAUGGGAGAAUCACCCGAUUUAUUUGAUGGUCAUUGUUCUGAUUAUGCAGAGGGGAUACUUAAGGAGUUGGAGCGGCUUUAAAUGUAGAGAGAGUGUUCAGCACAUGCACUCGGGUUCGGUAGAUUAGGGGAAGGAGUUUAGAGUUGGGUAGUGACCUAGGGACGCGUUCGGGAGUGGUUCAGUUCUGGAUUCAUAUUUUUUCUCCCAGCAGCGGUUUGAGCGGGGAUUCUUUUGGUUUGGGAUUCGUGUUUGAAAUCCGGGUAUUGGACGUUACUGGACAGGGUUGUGUUUCCCAAUCUGUCUGGUCUGAGUGUCUGUCCUUCUCUGUGUGUUUGAAGCACGGUUCUGGAAAUGUUUUGGAUUGGACGCCGGUGUAUUCCAAUUUAGAUUUAGAACAGGGCAGUAUUGACAGCUAUGCUAGGGAUGUGGUCGUUCCAGUUCUGGUUCCACAUUGGAAUGCCUGUGUGGGGUAGGGCGCUGCAAACAUGUACUGGGUUCGUUGUUUUAGUUUCGGACUGGAACCGGUUUGGUUGCGCUAUAGUUUCUUAAAUUAUUUCAUUUAAUCGAUUGAGAGGUGCUUGACCUGGUGCUUGUGUGCCUGGUUUCAUUGGUGCAUCUUUUAUGUUUUGAUUGGAAAGUGAGAUUUCGUGUUUCGUGGAGGAGCUGGGUGUUUCCUUUGGCGAGUGUGAGCUUACUCGUUGCACUCCUCCGUGUGGGGCUGCUCGGUUUGAGUAAGUUUUCUGAGCAGACCGGCCUAUUAUUACUGGAUGGAUCGGCUGAGUGUUAUAAUUGAUUGAUUUAACUGGUAGACUGGUUUGAACGUGCAGCGGAAGACAUGGUGUUGUGCCUUGUUUUGGAGUUUUGAUGCUGAUGAGUGUUCUUUGGUGGGUUAUGUUUUGGUGGGGAGGGUUGUGACUUGUGCGAGUGGGUGAGUGGGCUGGAGCGUGAGUUGUGAUGGAUUGGAAUUCAAUCGCGAACUGUAUUGCAUGCUCUUGAAGGGGCUGCAUUUUUUGUGUCACCGUGGUCGUGUCCUAUGCACGGCCCUUUAUUUUUUUCGUUUCAGGUGUUUCAGCGUCGAUACCUGACACAUUAAGCCGUAUGAAUAAAAACUAGCAUUUGCUCAGCUUUUUGAGAUUCGAGCAGUCGAGCAGCCGCGUUGAGCAUUUGCUCAGGUUGGUAUGAAUAAAACUUUGCUUUGACAGUUGCUUUCUCAAUUUGAGCGUUUGCUUUUCGAACAUCUGAUUCCGUAUGAAUAAAGUGAUGAAUCUUGAGUAAAUGCUCAGAGAAUGCUAAGCAAAAGAUUGAUUGUUCUGAGCAUGCUCGGUAGCAUGCUAGAAUAAAAAUACAUAUUUUUUUAUUUGUUAAAGGUGAACGAUUUAGUAUUUUUAUUCGUUUUUGAUGUUAACUCUUGAAAGAUUUCUCAUUUGGAAUAUUUUGAAGUCAAAAUAACUACAUAUUUUUCUGGUUCAUAUUUACGAAUCUGGUUUUGCCUCGGCCCAAAUACACCGGUAUUAUUCCGGAUUGUGUAUUUAAGUAAAACAUUCUGUAUAAAGCUAAGCUAAAAUUGUUCCACGACUUGUAAGGUUGGUUAAAACACAUUCUGAAACAAUUUGAUAUCUGGCCAAAGUUUCCGGUGGGUACGUGAACCGUUCUAAAGAGACAUACAAUGAAUGCUCGUUAGGCAUUGAAAAUUGACCCUAGAACUAACAAAGUCAGUGCAAGCCGCAAAUAACUUUAUCUUAGAACCCAAACAAAUCGUAUUGAGACCAUGGGAACACUGGAACGGUUCUCCGGUGAUUCCGGAUUGUGGCACCAAGAACUGAAAUUUCUCAUUCUCGAACCAUAUCAUGCAACAGAUCAAACAACAUCUACUGGACUUCACGACUUGAAAUCCUUUAAUACUGGAAGCUCUAUAGACUGUUAUUGAAGGUUUCGGAGCUACGUUGACUAAGAGAAACGACAUAAAACUUGAAAAACGGAUAAGUAUUCCAAUGCGAAUUAACCAUAAAUUUAGAUUGAAAAGCUAGAGCUAGACAGGUUCAUAUGUGCAUGGUCGAAGGAAGUGUGAAGAAUCUUCGACCUUCUGCUUGUUGCCAGUGAGAGAGCAUAACCAUUAUUUUAUUGGAGUUCCUGUUAUGGAGUUACGGGUUAAAGAGUGCUAUCACCCAGUAAAUUCUUAUAUCUCCUAUGAUAUCAGUAUGAUGCAAAACUUAAUCAAAGUGCUUGGAUUUGCAGGGUCUGGAUGGCUGAUGGUCAACCAAAGUUACUUUAAACAAUUGGCCAUCUAUGAUGGUUCUUGAUGCACCUGGAGAGCUUGUAACUUCUUGAGCUAAUAACCCGAUUUCUCAAUGAAUUAUUUAACCGACAUCACAAAUUAUUGAAUUGCAUUCCAAUCUGACUUGUAGUUCCAGAGUUACAGGAUGUUUAGUACGAUUACAUAGCAAUUUUCCUUUUGAACUGGUACCGUCAUGACAACAGCUAAAAGCGUAUUCAAAUGCGCAAUAAAUUGAUCGUAUGUAUGUAUUUGAUGACCAAGCUUCGGGCCCGAGGAAGAUUACUCAAUGUCCUUGUUCGAGAUGUACUGGCAAGUUACGAUCUCCUCUACAUGUCCCUCAUAUACACGUUCCUAAAAACCAUCAAUAUCCAAAUUUAACUGCCGCUAUUAUUUCUGUUAUCAUCCCAAGAAGUGCCCUCUUCCGCCUACCGUACCCCAACGAUGGUCUGAUGCGACUCCAAGACGACACAAAACAUCUCUGUCGAAGGACCCAGCAAACACGAGACCUACAGCACAACAUCACACGCGCAACGAUGUGUUGCGGAUCCGCAUCUGAUCCGUACUGCGAAAUCGUCUGGAGGAACCCCUCCCCAAGGUUUAGGGGUUUGACGGUAUUGCAAACAUCAUCAAGCAUCAAUUGCUUUAAGAUGGAUAUUGCAUUACGCCUCGAUAGUGGUUUAUCGAGGAGACCGAGAGGGCUUAUGCGUCUUUUUUAUGUUAUAUGUUUCUUCGUACUCUGCACCUGCGCAUACCAACGCUAAACCACUGGUCUAUGCGCGGUGUCGUGGCCGACUGGCGGAUCAACGUAGAUGGACUUUUGCUGUGUGCCAUGUUUGCAAAUAUUGUUCUAUUGGUGGUAUUCGUGGACGGGGCUCACGGAGGGAGUCAUUGUGUGUCCAUUUAUCGGUCGACUUCGUCAUCAUGCAUAUACUAAUUAAAUUAAUUUAAUAAUUAAAUUCAUUUAAUAAAGUAGAAAAAGUAGAAACCUAUUAGUUGUAGCUUUGUGAUAAUCAUAGUUUUUCGUACUAGUGUACAACUGUUAUGUGCUAGUCGUAUGUCUAUCUAUGUAUGUAUUCGUCUGAAUAUUUGUGACAGUUGGGUCAGGGAAUGGAUGCAGAACUGGCGUGUAAGAUAGAAUAGUGGCUAAUACUUCUGGUGAGCAAUCUGAGCAUUUGGUUCGGAAAAAUCGGGUUGGAUAAAUUAGGGUAAAAUAAAUUUUCCGACGCACGCGAAUCAUCCAUUCCCGGCCAGCGUAGCAUGAUGAGAGUCUAACAGCAUGCAAUUGUCGUUAAUGAUAAAUAUACAACAUUAGCUACGUUAAUGAUAAAUAUACGAGUUUGAUUACAUGUUACAUAUGUUUUUCUAUUCUACUUCAUUAGUCUGUUUUUAUUUGUACAUCUAUUAGUUUGCUUUUCCAUUAUUUAUGUAUACCAAAAUAGUAUUGUUCAAUUUAUACACUUCUAGUCAAGCUCUUCGCAUCUUUUUUCUUUAUUCGGCAUGUUAUGAUUCCUUUUAUUAGUAUAUCUCUACUGUGCGCUAUCUAUACUCAUAUAGGUACAAACGCUCGUGGCAUUCGCGAUAACACAAACCUGGCAAAACGUGACCAUGCAAUUGCAAUAAUCCACAUAUACUUACGCCCGCGAUUUCGCUUACAUGAAAGCACCCCGGUAGUUAAGUAAACGUGACAUCUUUAACCUUCCAAACGCGGUUUCAAACAUUAACCCACCACUCGCGCGAUCAUGAAACGGUCACGUCCGAAAGUUUUAUCAGUCUGGACUAAUGCCUUCAGUUGAACCAAUCAAAAAAGUGACGCUCAUAUUCACUAAAUAACACGUUCCAUGGUGACAUGACCUGUAACUCAAGUUUCCCUAUAGGGAUCGGACUACCAUCUGUACCAUACACUAAAAAUUAAGCAUCAGAUUCACGGCCCGUGCGCGAUCAAACAAAAAUACACACUACGUCAUUAUAAAAUCGAAGUUAUACAUGCGAAGUCACAUACACGUGACAAACACGUUAAUAUACAAAUGCUUGAGCCCUUCGCGAUCAUCCCCGGCAUCUACACCCGCGAUCUAGUAAACAUGAUGGCAUAAAUAAAUGAUGAUAAAGUGAAUGUCUCAGCUCCUAUAAAUUUUCAAACGCAGUCUCAAGCGUGAACCUAAAAACUCCCGCACUCGCACGAUCAUGAAUCGGUCACUUCCGGAUGUUUCCAUCCUUGAUAUCAGCAGACUAGGUCCAUGCCUUCAAUUGGAUCAAUUAAAAAAGAUAGCUCUCAUAUCCACUGGACACCACGUUACAUGGCGACAUGACCGAGGACUCUAGUGAUAUGGGGUAACUUACUCCCUGUCAGAAUGUGAAUUUUACUCCAAAAACUAACUAUCAGAAUAAAGGUCCGCAUGACCAUCCAAGAACGCACGUGUAUAAAGGAAAAGCUACACGGUUACAAAAUCCAGUCUUGUGCACGUGAAGUCACAUGAACGCGAGCACACGUGACAAACACGUUAACGUACGAACGCUUAAGCCCUUCGCGAUUAACAACGCACACCUACGUUCGCGAUCGCGCAAACUUAAUAACACCCCGGUAAUAAGGAGAACGUUUUAGCACUCACGAAGUUUCAAACGCUGUCUCCAACACGAACCUACAAACGUCCGUUUUCGCGCGUUUAUGAAUCGGUCACGUCCGGAAACCAUUACUCUCUGUCCUAAUAAUUUGGGUCCAUACAUUCAGUAGGACCAAUCAAAAAAUAAAGCUCAUAUCCACUAGACAACACGUUCGAUGGCGACAUCACCGGGCACUCUAGUGAUAUAUGAAGAUCUCACACUCUUUUAGCAUCUUAGCAGUACACCAAAAAAUAAAGUAUUAGACUCACGGUCCGCGGGCGAUUAUCCAAGAACACACGCGAAUAUGCGAAAGGCACACGGUUAUAAAAUAGAAUUUAUACACGCGAAGUUACAUACACGUUAACACACACGACAUACAAACACACUCGCGAUCGAACACGUUAACUACAAAUGCUGAGCUCUUCGUGAUGAUACACGCGAUUGCGAGUCACUACGCCCGCACAUACCUGAACCGUACAAUGAAUAUCGCAUUUAGAAUCACGGCCCAUAACAAUUGGCCUAAUGCAGUGUUUUAGUAGGCGACAUUGCCUGUCUCGUCUGCAAAUUGUAGUAUGUGAUUCUGACGGGGAGCUAGCUCUACAGCUCCAGUAGGACAACACUCGAAAACAAAAAAGUGUUCCACUUAGUUAAUCUCCCUUCUAAAAAUCAUAAAGUGCAUUACUAUACAAAGAACACACAAAAUGACCUUUCCCCUACUAUUACGAAUAUUAUAUUACCCCCUCAUGUAUAUGUAUAAGUUAGCUAUAAUUUUUUUUAGUUUCAUUAUAUAAAAACAAAAUAAUGUUGAAAUGUGUAACCCCCUAGUUUUAAGAAAUUCAAAAUGUAAAACAAAGAAAAAAUGGCACCUUUGAUCUAACGCAAACGUGCCUUACCAAGUAAACCAUUUAAAUGUUAAAAAAAUUCACUGUGCGACGACGUGAUCGAUCUUUUUGCAGUACGAGCUAAUAGACAUAUUAAUUAAACGAACAAAUAAAAAAUAUUUGGAUUUUGAAAAAAUAUCCAAAUCUAUCUUGUUUCGUAGACCGUAAUCUGAAUUACUGGGAGCAAUUUUGAACAGUGCACAGGUGAAGAAAAUGUUCACGAGUCACCACUGCGAAUAGAGAUUUUCAGUCUAAAGUAAAGAUAUUCGCAAAAACAAUCUCAACAUUUCUUAAGACUUUACCUUGCUUUUCUUAAAAAAAUUGCAAUUUUUUUUUUCAUUUCAUCACUGCAACUAUUUCACCAAAACGAAGGUCUGAAACACCUUAGAAGAUAUUAUUGUCGUACACUUUACCGUUUUCGCGUGAAUAAUUCAUCGCAGGUUUUGAGCAAAAAACCACUGUGAAACGGUUGACCAAAAAGAAGUUCCAUAGGCCAAACAUGGAGUAAUGUAUCUUAAAUAGUAUUUUUCAAAUGUACAAUAAGCGGAUUGCACAAAAAAACUGUUUUUGAUUCGAUUAUCCGGAGUGAAAUUGUUCUGAGUACUGCCGGUAAUCGAGUCUAGCCUGUACCUGAUCCGGCUGUAUAAAACACAAUGCGGUAGUACUAUUACACAGAUAACUCUUUGUAUGCAUCAUUGACAAAAUAAUAGGUGCCAGCUCUGAGAUCAGACAGCACAUUACGUACAGCCUUGCACCAAAAGCACCGACGAUCCAGCGCAGCAUAACUACACCGCUAGACUCCCAAUUGCCCAUUCACCAUGUACAAAAAUGUAGUAUAUUUGGAUUUAAAAUAUGUAUUAUUGAAUUAAAUUAUUCACUGUUUAUUGCUUCAAACGACAAUAACAUUGGUCGAAAAAUAUUUGUUAUUCAUUGUUUUAAUUUCAAUAAUUAUAAAAGAAGGGAACGACAAUACUUGUUGACACAAUGAAUUUUGUUGUUAUGUUUUCCAUCGAUCACUAUUUUUUUUAUUAAAUUUAAUCAAUAAUUUGAUUACACAUGCAAAUUAUUUUUCUGCGUGUGGGAUUGACACAUUUCAAUAUCGGUGUCUUCAUUGGGACGACAUAGCUUAGUUGAUAAGACGGCCGCCUUGUACCCCGUCGAUUUGAGUUCGAUCCUAAAAAUGCGGUAUAUUAAUAUAUGUACAGUCAGAACAAAAAAUGGUUAGUUUAAAAAUUGUUAAUUUUCUUAUUACAUUUAUUUCAGCUGUCUACAAGUCGUCCAUACAUUCUAAAUAGCCAAAAAACUACUUAAACAAAAACGUUUUAAUGUGCCUUUUUAUUUCAAAAUGACAAUUCAUUAAAGGUAACCUUUAAUAAUAUUGUUGGGUAUGACAACCUUGAUGAAAACAUCUAUAAGUUAUUGAUAUAUCUCAGUAAAAAUAUUUUAGGCACGUUUCCACAUUAAAUAGCGUUUAACUUGUUUUUUUUUAAUUGACUCACUCUAGGUGCAGAAUUGCACAUGCACCAGUUUAGUUAUCAUUCCAACUAUAUGUACAAUUAAUAUAGGUUCACGAUAAAAAGGAAAUUGUUUCAAUUAUUGAUUGAGCCCAAUUGAAAAUCAAACCUUUUGUAGUUGAAUUAAUUGAUUUUGAAAUAUUCCAUAGCGGUUAGCACUGAAAAUAAGUGCAUAACCUAUUAGUUUAACUAUAUUGAUACUGUUACAUUUCUUAUCUGCCUUAUCUGCUAAGUAAAAUAACAUGAUCAUUGAGACCCUAUAAAGCAAAACGACCAGUGUAUGGCAGCGGGGGACUUAUGACAAUAAGAGUGACGAUUGUUUUUCAGAUCUUCAUGCUCAAAUGUUAUUAUUAACUUAUAAUACUUAUGGGAAAUUUUCGUUUUCACCUAACACGUCACAUCCCAUUAGAAUUUUAUCGUUUCUUGAUAGUCUUCUAAACAUUUUAAAACUCAUCAGAAUUUUAUCGCACUUGUUUUGCGAAUUCAAGUAUACACGUUUGGUUUUGAUAUACUACAGUGAUACGCAUAACAGUUCCAUAUGCAUAAAAAAUCCAGAGCAAAUGGGACUGUUAUGCGUAUCGCGGUGGUACAUAACAACUAAUCCGCAAAAAGCAAAUACAUGCAAUCAAUUUCCACAGUAUCAUUUGGAUAUACAUAAUUAUGAUUCUACAGAAACUGUGUAAACAAUUGCGACAGGUAUCUCGCGACGAGUUACUAACUUUGUACAGUACGUAUCGGUCCCACGAUGUUUUUGGGUAACCUCCUGAAGCUGAAAGUUUCUUAUGAUUACUGAUUUUCCUGCAUUUGAUUUUUAUCAUGUCCUCACGACCCGCUUCCAAUUGGUGAAGAGGGGAGUAGCAGUAGUGGUUUGUUUAAUCCGUUCCGAGUAAAUUUAUUGAUUGUAGAAAAAUCAAAGACAUAUGACAUAGGAACGCACAUAUGCUGGAUCCUGAAAUGAAAUUAUUAGUCUAGGUCUACAAAUUGAAAAAAAUAGCAAAGGUUACCAGUACAUAUUUAUAUUGAUCAUCCAGAAUGUCACAAGAAAUUUCGGUUACUAUCAAUCGGUGUCUUGUUCGGGUGCAUUUUAAUUCUGGUUUGGACCAGCACAUUGUUCAUUUCUUAUCGGCGAUAUGGUCUACAGAUGGACUGAAUUCCGAAGUAUUCGGCGUCGAAGUUAUUGAUAGUUAUUGUAUACUACUCGUGUAACAUAGUAGCUGGUCCUCAUUCAUCUUCUGUAUUUGGACAAACAUGUUCAUAGAGGGACUCUCUUAUCCCAUUACUGUUACAUCAUUUUCUCGUUGUUUCACUAUGACGAUACGACUGAGGACGAUUAGCGGUUUGCAGGGACGUCUUCAUCCUUCGAAAUUUGGCUUAGUCUGCAGGUUAUUCCAACACUUGGGGUGCAAUUUAAAACAAAAAAAAAUUCAAAACAAUUUCCUCCGUUGAUAUCUUUAUAGUGGUACAUACCUUUUCUUUGUUCUUCGACAUUUCCUAGUUUACAAUCCUGUCCUAUCAUUUUUGUUGUUACUUUUUCUACAGAACUCCAUAUCAACAUUUGAAUAGGGCUAAUAAGAUUUGUAAACAAACUUUUGUUUUGCUGAUUUCUCUUAAUUUGUUAUCAUUUCAACAGAGAAAACAUUUGAAAUUGAUUCUACCAAGGGUAAAGAUGUUGAUUCAUGUGUAUUUUUCAUAAAAUUCAACUCGGUAGCGGAAAAAUGAGCGAAAUAAGUUUGUUUACAAAAGUCUCAUUAGCCCUUUUGAAGAAUUACUAUUGAACUGUCUUGGGCCCUCGAUGGUUAUAUUUUCCUUGUGCAACAUCAACAUGCAGAGCGGUUGUAUAGUCUCAGGUUGUUUCCAUCUUCUCGAUGUGAAAGAAUCAAUACGGAUAGAACCACCGUAAGGUAAAAUAUAGCGGAUUCACUGGCAAAAAGCACGGUUACUACUAGAUCAAGUAGUUUUAUACACCCCAGCCGUGGUUUGUAGAAAUAAUCACUACUACUAGAGCGUCGGAAAGUUAAAAUUUCGACAGCGAAUUAUUAGAACGGCUGUCACUACACUACGACCGAUUGUGUCACCACAGAAAACUCUGCAUAGGUUAGACGUUAUUAUUUGUAAUACCGACCUUUAAAUAUAUGUUAAAGGUUAAAACAGUUAGAGUUCACGUAAAUAUAUUUUCAACUGCACCACGACUGUAUUUUCUUCGGCGGUUUUGACAGACGAAUGACUGAGUAAAAGCUAUGUUCGAAUUUCGAACUUGCUUCAGUCCAAGUUGAGUAAAGUUAGCUUUUAUUCAUACCAAGUUGAGUAAAUGCUUCGAGAGUUUACUUUGCUAAUAAUCGAGCAGAGCAAACUUGUCUUGAGCAAAUGCUAGUUUUUAUUCAUACGGCUUAAUAUCUACGCAUAUCAAAGAGAAAAAUCAAUGCAAACUUACUUAUUCGGAUCACUAAACUGGCAAAUCUCACUCAUUAAUGUGACAUUUUUCAAACCACUCUAGAAUAGCAUGAUAAGCAUCAAAGAUCAGUUCAAAAGUCCGAAAAAGAUGACCACCUUGGAAAAAUAAUCCUAGUUUAUGAAAUUACGAUGCUUAAAUUUCUAAGUAAUGUUCGAGUUGUUUUGGAGCUCUCAACAGAUCUUCAAUUAAAUCAUACAAUUUCCAAUUUAAAAUCAUUUGUUGCAUACAUUAUUCGAUAUUUUCAUGUUUAAAUUUUGUAUUCAUUUGCACAAAAUACACAGAUUAAAAAAAUAUGCAAAUACAGUUUCGGCUGAGUGGAUGCUGUUCAUUCGCCUGUUGAAAACUAGAAAAUCCAACCAGUAAUAAAAGUUGUUUUUUCUUGUUCAGGGCUAAUCCAUCUUGUCGGAAGUAGUGCGCAUUAUAGUGCAACAUUGUACGAAUACUGCGCAAUACAUCUGAUGUGAUUCCAUCGUUUCGAACAAGAGAAAAUACGGUUGUCUCUGGUUGGAUUUUCCAGUUAUGUACACAAAGACCCUUCAAAAGAUCAUUUCGAUGAAUUUCCGAUAGUCGGAAAACAGUAUUGUCGCGCUUAUAAUAAAAUCUCACAUUGCGCGCGUCUGAAAGGUACAUCAAACAUAGCCGCAGUUGCUCCGCCAGCCGAUUUCACUGGAGCCACUUGACAAUGAGACAGUCGAACAUAAGCAAACUGUAGGAGUGAUAAGCAGUCUCUAUGAAUGUAGAGGGUCUUCUCUUGCAUUGUUUGUUUAUUUCUCUACCUGCUGUGCGCUUUUCGAAAGCUCGAAGGAAUAAGCUUCUUAUGAAAUCAUAUAGGCGGCUGUCACGCGCCUAUCUGAAUUGAGCUUUCAUAUAAUCGCAAAUCGAGCGAUUAUACUGCAAGGAACAAUAUAAAAACUCUAGAAAUAAAACUGCAGAGAAAAAAACAACAUUUUGAGCACGUUUGUCCUGGCAUUGCAUGGUAAUACGUCCAAUGUUGGGCAUGUUCAGGAGUGUUUCAGUAUAGACGUUGAGAACUGACAUACAAGUAAUGUUUUCAAAGUGUGUAAGAAAUGAAACUGUCGUUUUGAAAUGCCACCAGCCAGCAGCUACUUGCCACUUGCCGGCACUACGAUCGGUUAUCAAACGCUAUACGAGCGUUGCGUGCAAACUUGGAUACAAAGGUGAUCCAUGCAUGCGAACCUGUAUGCUAUUUUCAACGCAUUUUCAAUUAAAUGUUUACACAAGUUUUUCGAGAAAGUUUAUUCUAGCUUAUAUGUCUGUUCUCUGUGGUAUAGAUUCAUAAAUUUGACAGUUCUUUGAUACUUUUUCCAGGCUGUUUAGCGGAUUAGUGUCACUUAUACUCCGGGAGGCCUUUUUUGGUAACACCUUUUUUAUAUCAAUCACAGAUACGCAUAUUUCGCAUACUAAUUAUGUGCAUCAUGGCACUGAAGAUGCAGAUAAGUAGUAUGCAAAAUAUAUGUAUCCGUCGCAGAUACAAGUGAAUAGUGGAAUUACAUUACAAAACAAACCCUUACAGGGUAUAAUAGUUCUUUAACUCUCGAAAAGGAAAGCUGAAAUUGUGACUCCAAGAAGCAUCGCAUCUAAGACCCAAUGAAAUCGAAAGCUUCAUUUUUGUCGUUUUAUCAGUGAGCAAAUUGAAAGCCGUAUCGUAUUUGAUCGUAUUUCAAAUUACAAGUUCAUUGAAACUAGAGAACUGUAAUUAGCCGGGCCACUGAGACCCCUUACCUUUUUGAGGGUUAAUAUUGUGAUUUCUGACCGCUCAUUUACAACCACAAAUGUAAAGUCAAACCAAAGAAGUUUUGUUUGUUUUCCCCACGAAAUACCUAACCUCAACAGGUUUAGAAAUGCACAAUUUGUCUUACGCCACUACAGCACUCGUUGUCCCCUACCGUCGGUCCGGUCUGUCCAGCGCUCGGGCGAGCAUUUGACGCGCUGAAGAUGUCUGGUGCUGCCGCGCCAGUGACAUGCGAAGGUUUUCUAUGGUUACAGCUGGGCCAAGAUCUCUACGGCUGGAACAAGACAUCUGGAAUAAGACGUCGGUGGGCGUGCCUCUUACUGGUUUCCAGACGAAUGUGAUACCUAAAGGAGCUUAUAUUCUCAGGUAUCACAUUCGGCUCCACUGCCCAUGAUGAAAGGGUGGCGGAAUUUUCCCAUCUCAAAGGCGGAUACAGCCGCCACAAAGUCAGACAGUACAACGACUGAGCUAUUUUCUGUUUUCUGAGCAAAAUCGAGCGUGAUAGCCGACGCCUCGGCAGCGAACACCGAGCAUGUCGCCGGUAGGCGGAAUAGAGCCUUUCUCCUAUUGCGCUUACUACUUAUUAGGUCGGAAUAAUCACCGAUCUUCGGGCCGUCGUUGAAUAUCCAUGUUAUGUUUAUACCUGGUAGCUAUGAGUUGGUUAUAUUUAGCGCUGGCCUCCCUGCCUCACGGCCCUCAGCUCUGUCGACAGACUUGUGUCCAAAUUGGGUCCGCGAUCGUGCCAGGGCCGCUCACAACCUCAGUGCAGACGGGCGAUUGGUGGUAGGUCUACGUCUGUAUAUUCCCGAUAGAUCUCGCUGACUAUCCUGUCAAGGCCAGGAUUCUCCCCCAACGAAGGGGAAGAAUCCUGGCCUUGACACAGGCCGCUUCAGCAGGUGUGCUGCGGAGCAGGCCAGAAGCAGCGCUCUAUCUCGUGGUAUAGAAGGCUUAAAAUAUUGAUGAUAGCUUCCAUAUUGCAGGUCGUCAGCUGUACCCCGUAGAAUAUCCUGUACUAACGCCUGGUCAAUAUUCAGUGCAGAGCUUGUGCCGGGAGCUGAUUGUUUGAAUUAGCCGCAACCGGUUCCGGCAGCCGACUUUGAUAUUUCGAAAGCGAGACGCAAAGGGGAGGCGGUGGCCUACGGCUAUCCUCAGAAUCUUUGCUUCCUUGCGGUAGGGAACAAUCGCCCCGUCCAGCAUGAUCGGUUCGUUCUGCAGCUGUGCAUAAUAACGCUUACCGCACUUAGAGCGGCUUGAACUUUACGACGGGUUCGUCUGAUGGUCCUUCCCAUUGCUACCAGCACGAUGUCAUCGACGUAGACGAAGACAUACAUCCCCGCCGGCGGGGAUGUAACAAAUGACGUUUUAUGGUAGUUUUAAAGCCACUGAUAAAACUUAGAUUACACUUGUAGCGUGCUAUAAAACUUCAAUUGCUACUUGGGAAAUAAAGGAUUCAUGGACACAAGAAACAGUGUGAUGGCGAACACUGGACCCUGGAGGACCCCGUUGUUCUACGGAAAUGCUUCAGAUUGGCCACCCUUCGAUUCCCACCCGGAAGGUGCGGUUCUACAGAUAGUCGUAUAAGAACCGGCCCAUGUUUACGGCGAUAUUCCGGUUGGCCAGUUUCUGCAGUACUCCGUGACGCCACACAGUAUUGUAAGCCUUCGUCACGUCGAGUAUAGCGAUGUUGGCGUGCAGGCCGCCGGUUACAGAUUGACCUACCACCCCUCCAAAGCUGGUGAGGUAGGCAACCAUUUCUGAUCCAAGAGUUUACGCUUCUCCAAUAAGUUCAUCAGCCGUCCAUCGUCUUAGAGAAACAGGGGAGCAAACUAAUUAAGCAGCAAUCAUCAGGCUGGCGGUUCACCGCCUCAGAUGCGGUUAAUAUUCUCCAUUAUCGCCCGCUACCAGCGGAGAAUGUCGCAUAUGUGGAUAGCCAACGUCGUCCAAUCCGACAACUUUACUGCGUACCGAUUCCAAUACCACACAAAGUUCACUUCCAGUGAAGAGUUGGUUGUAUAUUUGUCCUGAAUCAGGUUCGAAACGGACGGGCCUACUCUCAACCCUUUGGAGGACGGCGUCUGUGAACAGAGUGAAUCGUCGUUCACCCGUUAACGACAAUGGCGUGGCAACUGUGUUGUCGCUUUCCGCUAAGGGCGUUGACUCUCCUUCAGAGCUCUGAUGUCGAGGAGUUUGGGGAAAUGCCUUCUAAGAAUCUGGUCCAGCUGGUGUUUUUGCGUCUUCUGUGGCUUUCCUGGCCUCGUUUUUGGCCUUUCUGAAGUCAUCCGCUCGCUGACGUCGGCGCGGGUCGCCCACUGCAGUCUUCUUCAGUGUCCGUAGCGCAGUUCGAUGGGCUCUGAUGACUAUCCCGACAUCUGGGCACCAUCAGUGCAUCGCCUGUCGGGGAGGGUUCACACUUUCCUGGGAUCUAGGAAGCGGCAGCCCGAUUCGAGAGGCUGGUGAAUUCAUCCGGCGUAUAUGACUUGAUUUAUCAGACUGUCGACGGUCUCCUCAUACCGAGUCCAGUCCGCUCGAUCGUAAAGCCAACGCCUUCGACGGGUUGUUGAAGGUGGCCUCUGAUCGUGCGUAACCUAGAUAGAGAAGUGGUCACUGUUGCAUGGGUCAACAAGGAUAGUCCACUCACAAGAUCCUGCGAGCACCCCCGAGCGGAAAGUUAUGUCAAUGGCGGAUUCUGUCUAUUCGCAAAGAAAUGUCGAACUUACAUCGAUGAGAACAACCGCACGUAGAAGCGGACGAUAGAAUUGUCGAGAGUCAGAUUUUUAUGCGAGUUGAUAGGGUCUUCGAUGAGAUACUCUGGCCUUGGCAGUGUUAGUUAGAUGAUUCAAAUUGUACCUACCGGGUGUCAGGAGCAACCGGGAAUCGGGCUAAAUUUUCGUCGCAGAGAAUUCUUCCCAAUGGCCCAUCCGAUCCGAGGAGAUCGAGAGACUUGAGCCGUUGUUGUUAAACUGAUUGCUAUUAGGAGGAAUGAUCACCUGCUCUAGAGCCAAGCAGGGUGCGGGGUUCUGGAGGCGAUCGUAUUGUGUUGGUAGAUUUUCCAGUUUCUGGUCCGAUUGGUCUGUGGUAAAUGUUUGUGAAACGGUAAAAUGAAUGCUUGUUGGGAUAUUAUAAAUACUUCCCUGUGGGAGUUUAAAUGCUCCGGUGUCGGCAGCCGCCGAGUGUAUAGGACAUGUUCGAAUCUUCCCCGAUCGGGGUCGAUACAGGUAGGCUUCGUUCAAUAUUGCAGUAGAAUUUUAUGUUGUUUGUUGCACCCCAAUCAACGUUCUGUUGUUGGUUCAAAGCUAUCCAGAAAUAUCGAGGAACACUUGGGGCACGAAUUUUUGUAGUGCUACGGUAUCCGAGAUUUUUCAAGUUACGAUUAAUGAAGGUCUGUUUUUGCGAAAGCUCGAUCGGGUUAUCCUUUGCGUUUUUGGUGGAGUUGGUUCUAUGCUGUUUUCAUUGGACUUCAGAAUAUUUCCCGUUGCCCCGCUUUGUUGGCGUUCACUGCUCUGUCUUUAGUUCCCUGUGUUGGUUAGCUCUGCCUAUUCCUUUCGUUACUUAAUAUAGGUGUUGUUUUUUAAUUCUGACAGCCUCCGCCAGGUGGCCUUUCAGGCGUAGUAUCUCAUCGUCGCGCUCAUUUUUGUGAUUUCUCCCGUUAGUCUGUCGAUAGUGCAGUUCUUCUCGUUUUUUCUCAAACCCGAGCGGUCUCGAGUCUGUUUGUCAUAGCUGGGUCCUCUGCGGUUUCGUGUGAUUAAUGCUCUUGCUUCGGGAAAUGAAAUGACUCUGGAGAUUUUUUUCCACGUAUUUUGGGUACUUUUUCGAUCUAUCUUGAAUUUGAAAAAAUGUAAGUGUUUUAAUGUCCAUUUUCGCAUCAACUUUGCACUCCCUCGCAGACAAGUCUGUUCAACAAACGUCAUUUUCAUCUGCUAAAAAAAAGUGGUCGUUCUUCCAGUUAUCCAAUAAAUAACUAUGUAGAGUUAGUUUUUGCAGAACUUUGAUGUAUUACACGCAACGCAAAAUAAAUUCUAAAUUUCUAUUUUAAUGGAAAGAAAAUACAUAUAAUUUUAUUGAUUUUUACACAUGCAUCACAUGCCCCUAGGUUCAAAAUCACUAUCGCAUACAGGUUUACGUGCGUAAAUCACCAUUGUAUCUAUAUGUAUGUAUCGAUUGCUGCACAAUCGUAGCGCCGACUAGUUGCUGAUUGCUACUUGCUGAUAGCAUUUCAAAACGAGGUUUAUUGCUUUCACACAUUGAAAUCUUAAGCUGGAUGUCAGUUAUCGGUGACAAUAUGUUUCAUUACACUUUCUAUUAAACUUUGAAAAAUAUCAAUAUUGAAAAGAAAAUGAAGAAACUUUCAAUUUAAUUGUUUUCGCCAGUUUGUUUUUUUGUUCAUCGCAUAUCUCAAGAGGAUUACCAGAGGGCAUUAAAUGCAAAUUUUGUUUAGACCAGAUUGUAAGUUAGGCCACCUUGCCAAACGAACAUCCAAACACAAUGUUCGCUGAAGUUUUUUGCUCAUAUUAAACCCACAUUUUGUGUAGAAACCCGAACAAACAGGUUCGUGGCACCAGUUUUCUCAUUCUCUCAUUUGUCAUCACUAUCGUUCGGUGUUCGAGAUGAACCUGUACAUCGAGUCAAAGCACGUUUGAAGGUGAACAAGUGCAAGAAAUUUUGUACACAGGUACAAACUUGUAGAUGUGCAUGUGAAGACUGCUGUAAGGGGAGUGAUGCCAAAAUUGGAACAAUACCUAAUUGUCAGUGUCAUUUCAAACAAACAAACGACCUUGUAAAUCCAUGACAGAUAAUAAAGCUCUAUUUUGAUAGUUGUCAACACAAAUGUACUUCGAUAUGCAUUGACUAAGCAAUGCAUAAACGUUUCCACGACAUUCAAAAGCAUACAUUCAUUUCAAAUGCAUAAAAAUUAACCGCUCACCAAUAAUGGCAAAGCGGUCAGAUUUCUGCAAUUUAUUAUCAACAAUAUCUUAUACUUACCAUCAGUUUUCCCAAAUGAACAUCGAACACCAUGUUCGCUCUAGUUCUGUGCUCAUCCUACACCAUCAAUUCGUGUGCAAACUCGAAUGCGCUAAUGCGUACCAAAACACGAGCACAUGUUCGUCUGCACAACCGAACCCCAUGUACGUACGCGGUGUUCGUGCACACAGGUUUUUGAUACUAGUUUUCUCUUUCUCUCACCUAUCAUCACUAGCAUUGACUCAUUCUGUUUUGUGUGUGCCUUUCUUAUGUACGCACACGGUGUACGUACACGAUGUUUAAACCUAAGUUUGCACAUCGUUCGCUUGGGUUCGGUGUUCGAUGCGAACCUGUACACAAAGGCAAAGCAUGUUUGAGGUUGAACGCGUGCACGAAAUUUUGUACACGGGUGCAAACUUGUCGAUGUUCAUUGGAAGACUGCUUACCAUCCUUGUUUAAGACAAUUUCUCCAUCCUAUCCAUUUUCUCCUUGCCAUUUGAUUCUCAAAUAUCUAAGAAAAAUUUCACUCGUACAAGAUUAAUAUAAUGAUAUUUUCAAUGAUUUGUAAAUUAUCAGAGAAGUUGUAGAAAGAAUCAAAAAGGGAGCUUCGAAAUUUGGAGAUUUCUAAGAUCCCUUUUUAAAAUUAUAAAAUAAAUAAUAAAAAAGGAACAGGUCGCACAGAAAAACGUAUAUCACUUACUAUUCUUUAAGGUUGCAAAGUCAACUUAUUCCUUAAAACUCUUUCAAUUUGCAGUGAUAAGUAAGAACUUAAUAUCCAAUUGGAGACAGCGACUGCGCAUGAAAGUUUGCUGAAUAAUUUUGCCUAUAGAAUUUUGAUACAAACAAGAGUAACAAAGUAAAUACAAAAUGUGAUCCAAUAUUUAAACUAAUGAAGAAUGAGUAAAUUGUUGAUAUUUUGAAGUUUUUCCUAAUUAUUUAUGGAAUUAAUCCCAAAUAUUCAAAGUUAAUUGUAGCAUUUUUAUGAGAAAUAAUCUUUUGAAGUAGUAUCGCUGCGUCAUCAGACAAAUUUUAAAAUAUAUUACAAAAGUUUUAUUUUAACACAA